rnacentral:rRNA from 1 species
GGUAGGGUUACCCGCUGAACUUAAGCAUAUCAAU